GGGUGCAAGAGCCCUCCCUUCUCCUCCCGCUCGGUGCAUAGGUAAUAGUCCCGGCAGGAAGUAAAGGCUGUCCAGGCCGCCCGGGCGGCAGAGGGAAUAAGCCGGAUGCACCCUCCGCAGCGGCGAGGUGGAAGCAGAUAGCUCCGAUGCUGAGCAGGAGGGAGGUUCAGCCGCCGGCCAGCAGCGCAAAGCUCUUGAAAAGUACAUCAAGUCUAAAGUGAACCAGUUCACUCUCGGGCAGGGCUGGAACCAUGAGCGCUAAUGGAACAGACUUGACCAUUGGUUUCAUCUCCUCUUCUGUUGCUGUCCUUUUGUAUGGCUCAAACUAUGUACCGCUUAAAAAAUAUGAUACCGGUGAUGGAAUGUUUCUCCAGUGGGUACUUUGUGCUGCCAUAUGGUUGGUUGCCUUGGUGGUCAAUCUGAUACUACGUUGCCCUAAAUUUUGGCCUUUUGCGAUGGUUGGGGGCUGCAUAUGGGCAACAGGGAACAUUGCUGCUGUCCCAAUUAUCAAAACCAUUGGUUUAGGCCUUGGAAUCUUAAUCUGGGGAUCAUUCAAUGCCUUAACUGGCUGGGCAAGCUCAAGGUUUGGCUGGUUUGGAAUGGAUGCAGAAGAAGUAGCAAAACCACUGCUGAAUUACGUUGGAGCCGGGCUCUCAGUAUUAAGUGCUUUCAUAUUUUUGUUCAUCAAAAGUGAAAUACCAAAUAACACGUGUUCUGUGGACACCACACCAUUAAUAACGGAGCAUGCGAUCAACAGGGCUCAAGAUCCCAGCCGCGAUUACUCCUGGGUGGAUAAGCUUUCUACACUGCAACAGCGCAUAGUGGGCUGCAGUCUUGCAGUGAUAUCUGGAAUACUCUAUGGAUCAACGUUUGUGCCAAUCAUUUAUAUCAAGGACCACAGCAAAAGAAAUGACAGUAUAUAUGCAGGAGCAAGCCAGUAUGAUUUAGACUAUGUUUUUGCACACUUCAGCGGCAUCUUUCUUACAAGCACGGUCUACUUUCUGGCCUACAGUAUAGCCAUGAAAAAUAAUCCUAAACUAUAUCCUAAAGCAGUCUUGCCAGGAUUCGUGUCAGGGGUCCUCUGGGCAGCAGCCACCUGCUGUUGGUUCAUAGCUAACCACUCUCUCAGCGCUGUGGUCAGUUUCCCGAUAAUCACUGCUGGUCCCGGAUUUAUAGCUGCAAUGUGGGGUGUCUUCAUGUUUAAGGAAAUACAGUGAUGCCAUCAAUUGUCUAAUUCAGAAAGCACAUUUGGAAAUCACCUGAAUGUAUUCAUUCUUUGAACCAAUAUUUAUUAAGUGCCUACUCUGCACCAGGGUCUACAAAACUACCUCUUAAUGAUACUUGCAUUUUGCAUCAUCUUGAGUGGAGCGCUAUGCACUGCUUUUUCUAAACUCUAACAAUCACACGACCAGCAGAUGGCAGCAGUGGUUAAGAGAACACCGCUGCUGGACGCUAGACAGCUGUGCUGAGAACAGAGUUCAUUUUCAUACAGCAAAUGGAUUUCAGCCUGUCUUGGAGUGGGUAAAUGAUUUUUUUCAUCCCAUAAAUGUGAGAAUAAAGGAAAACUGAGUUUCAGUCAAAUAUAAAAAUGAAAAAUUCUUCUAAUAAACUAUUUAUGAAGGUAGGACUUUACUAGGUGACUAAAAUGUCUACAUUCUUAUAGCAUUACAUCGGAGGGCGCUCCGUUUACCACAGUAUGUACUUAGUGUUGCAUAAUCUAGAAAACAAGGUGGAGUUCACAUACAAAGAAUUCUAUAUAUGUCCAAAUUUCCAACAAAUUACCCUCAUUAAUGAGGAGAGGCAGAAAAGUGAGGGCGAGAGGAGGGAGGAGGAGACUUACCUAAUGACCUUAUGAUAGAAUUAGACCCCAAACAUAUCUGGAUCCUUUGCUAGAAAAGCAAAUGUCAGAGUUGGUAACUGAAUGUUAAAAAGGCCAUUUCAUUAUAUUUAGCCCAAAUUUAUUUUUACUUCACAUUAAUGUUGCCCAACCUUACAUUACCCGCCCGUCUUAGCUCAAAAUGCUUUUGAUUCUCUCCAGUUAAAACCCAUCCUCAGAGAACAAAAGUUUCCCAGUAUUGAGAAUAUGUGUAUAAUGCACAUACAUGCAUACACAAGUACACACACAUAAAUACAUGCACAUAUAUGUAUGUACCCUUCCAAAUUUGAGAGAAAUGCUACAGUUUUUGAAGUGAGGUUCUAGCUUAUCAGAGUGAGAAUUUAAAGGGACCAAACACUCCUUUGCAUGUAUAAUUUAUUUUUUUUUUUAUGAAAUAUACUUUUCUAAAGUCCCUGUUUUAGCUGGAGGUUCUCUUCCUGUUUUCACUGGUGGUUUCCACCAGGCAAAAGAAAAUGACAGACACACUGGUUUCCUUUCUUUAAGAAAACUGAAGUGGAACUGCUAGUACAACGUUAAUCACACUGGAUCCCAAACUCUCAGAAAGAUAGAAGCCUUAGUGAAGUGUACAUUUCACCCACUCCCCCCUGAUAGUAUGUUACCUGGCUGUGCGGGAGAGACGGAAUAGCAUUCUGCUUAAGUGUAUGCAUGCUGGAGCUAACCCGUAUGGGUUUCAACCCACCUCUGCUUCAUCAUGCUUCUGUGACAUUGGGUGAGUCCCUGAGCCCCUGUAUCAGAUUCCUCACUGUAACCUGAAGAUGAUGUUAGAAUCUAUCUCGCAUGGUUACUGUGAGGUUCAAAUAAUUAAAAUCUGUAAAGUAUGUUCAUGAGUGUCUGGCAGUUGGCAAAUAUUAUAUAAUUCUUGGCAGUUAUUAUGUGUUGUUUGAGAAAGAAAAUGUGUCUACAGAUAGGAGAAUACCUUGUAAGAGCUAUUGCCCUCCAACUACCCCAUCCAAACAACCACUUACUGUUCCUCUAUAUGAAUGCGAUUGAAAGAUGGUACUAGAGUCCCUGUUUAAUUGAUGAAUUGCUAAUAUAAAUAAACUUUUGACUGUAACAUCUUA